GCCAGACUCCUACGGGAGGCAGCAGUGGGGGAUAUUGCACAAUGGGGGAAACCCUGAUGCAGCGACGCCUCGUGUGGGAAGACGGUCUUCUGGAUUGUAAACCACUGUCCCCAGGGACGAAAAUGACGGUACCUGGGGAGGAAGCUCCGGCUAACUACGUGCCAGCAGCCGCGGUAAUACGUAGGGAGCAAGCGUUGUCCGGAAUUACUGGGUGUAAAGGGAGCGUAGACGGCGAGGUAAGCCUGAAGUGGAAGCCCGCGGCCCAACCGCGGAACUGCUUUGGGAACUGUUUUGCUGGAGUAUGGGAGGGGUAAGCGGAAUUCCUGGUGUAGCGGUGAAAUGCGUAGAUAUCAGGAGGAACACCGGUGGCGAAGGCGGCUUACUGGACCAUAACUGACGUUGAGGCUCGAAAGCGUGGGGAGCGAACAGGAUUAGAUACCCCGGUAGA
rnacentral:rRNA from 1 species